CAGUCGAACGGAACUGUUUUGAAAGAUUUCUUCGGAAUGAAUUUGAUUUAGUUUACUGGCGGACGGGUGAGUAACGCGUGAGUAACCUGCCUUCAAGACGGGAAUAACAUUCUGAAAAGAAUGCUAAUACCGCAUGACAUAUCGGAACCACAUGGUUUUGAUAUCAAAGAUUUUAUCGCUUGAAGAUGGACUCGCGUCCGAUUAGUUAGUUGGUGAGGUAACGGCUCACCAAGACCGCGAUCGGUAGCCGGACUAAGAGGUUGAACGGCCACAUUGGGACUGAGACACGGCCCAGACUCCUACGGGAGGCAGCAGUGGGGGAUAUUGCGCAAUGGGGGCAACCCUGACGCAGCAACGCCGCGUGAAGGAUGAAGGUUUUCGGAUUGUAAACUUCUUUUAUUAAGGACGAAAAAUGACGGUACUUAAUGAAUAAGCUCCGGCUAACUACGUGCCAGCAGCCGCGGUAAUACGUAGGGAGCAAGCGUUGUCCGGAUUUACUGGGUGUAAAGGGUGCGUAGGCGGCUUUGCAAGUCAGAUGUGAAAUCUAUGGGCUCAACCCAUAAACUGCAUUUGAAACUGUAGAGCUUGAGUGAAGUAGAGGCAGGCGGAAUUCCCCGUGUAGCGGUGAAAUGCGUAGAGAUGGGGAGGAACACCAGUGGCGAAGGCGGCCUGCUGGGCUUUAACUGACGCUGAGGCACGAAAGCGUGGGUAGCAAACAGGAUUAGAUACCCUGGUAGUCCACGCUGUAAACGAUGAUUACUAGGUGUGGGGGGUCUGA
rnacentral:rRNA from 1 species